rnacentral:rRNA from 1 species
GACGAACGCUGGCGGCGUGCUUAACACAUGCAAGUCGAACGGAAAGGCCCUGCUUUUGUGGGGUGCUCGAGUGGCGAACGGGUGAGUAACACGUGAGUAACCUGCCCUUGACUUUGGGAUAACUUCAGGAAACUGGGGCUAAAACCGGAUAGGAGCUCCUGCUGCAGGGGGGGGGUGGGAAAGUUUCGGCGGUUGGGGAUGGCCUAGGGGCUUACCCGCUGGUUGGGGGGGUAGUAGCUUACCAAGGCUUUGACGGGUAGCCGGCCUGGGAGGGUGACCGGCCACAUUGGGCCUGAGAUACGGCCCAGACUCCUACGGGCGGCAGCAGUGGGGAAUUUUGCACACUGGGCCGAGGCCUGAUGCAGCAACGCCGCGUGCGGGAUGACGGCCUUCGGGUUGUAAACCGCUUUCGCCUGUGACGAAGCGUGAGUGACGGUACUGGGUAAAGAAGCACCGGCUACCUACGU